rnacentral:rRNA from 1 species
UUAUGGUCCUUAAAUUCAAAGAAUUUGGCGGUAAUUAAGUCUUUUUAGAGGAACCUGUUCUGUAAUUGAUAAUCCACGAUUGAUUUUACUUUAUAUUGAUUUGUAUACCUCUGUCAAUGAAUGUAUUUUAAGGUUAAUUUUCUUUAUUUUUUAAGAAUAGAUGUUAGGUCAAGGUGCAGUUUUUUAAAGUAGAAAUGGGUUACAAUAAUAGUUUUUGAAUAUUUAUUUGGAAUUAUUAAUUUGAAAUUGGAUUUAAUAGUAAUUUUUUUUAGUAUAACUAAUAUGAUUUUAGCUCUUAAUUAU